UUUUCUAUUUUCCCUAACACUUUCUCCUUACUCAUCUCCAUGGAGGAGAAACGCCGCGACGCCCCUUCCUCCGCCGUCGAUUCGCCGGCAUCGGAGCCCGCAUCGUCUCGCCGCCGUGCCGGAGGUAACAAAAGGAAGGCCAGUGCUCUCAACGCCUCCAAUUCCUCCUCCACGCCCUCCAAACGCACUUCUCGCGACAAGGCCUCGCCUCUUCACCCUCCUCCGCUCCACAAUGGCCCCUUGACCAGGGCUCGCCAAACCCCUAACAACCUCUCCGCCGCCGCCGUCGCCGGUUCCGCUUCUGCUCCCGCCGCCGUCAAACACUCCGAACGCGCUGCCCUCAUCCAGGCUUCAGGCGCAGACUCGGUGGCGCUCGCGGAGCAACUCAAGAAGGAGAGCGAGUGGGAGACUCUCGAAGCUGCGAUUGAAGCUGAAUUCGAAGCUAUCAGAUCUCGUGGUACCAAUGCUCAUGUCGUUCCCACUCAUUGCGGUUGGUUUUCAUGGUCAUGUAUCCAUCCAAUUGAGAAGCAAGCGUUGCCUUCUUUCUUUAAUGGAAAAACUGAAAAUCGAACUCCUGAUGUCUACAUGGAGAUACGGAAUUGGAUAAUGAAGAAGUUUCAUUCAAAUCCAAAUGUACAAAUUGAAUUAAAAGACAUAUCAGAGCUUAAUGUCGGAGACUUGGAUGCUAGGCAAGAGAUAAUGGAGUUUUUGGACUACUGGGGUUUAAUUAACUUCCACCCAUUCCCUUCAAUGGAUUCUGCUGUGGCCAGUGCCAGUGAGGAUGGGGAAGCAGAAAAAAUUUCCUUGCUUGAAAAAUUAUAUCGCUUUGAAACUCUCCAGUUAUGUCCGCCUGUUGUUCAGAAGUCUAGCCAAAUGACAUCAUCUGUGUCCUCUGGCUUGUUUCCAGAGUCUGCAAUUGCUGAGGAGUUGGUUAAACAAGAGGGCCCAGCAGUUGAGAUGCUCGAGUACCAUUGCAACUCUUGUUCUGCUGAUUGUUCUCGCAAACGUUACCAUUGCCAGAAGCAGGCAGAUUUUGAUCUAUGUACCGACUGCUUUAGUAAUAGAAGAUUUGGCUCUGGCAUGUCUUCAUUGGAUUUUAUACUCAUGGAACCAGCUGAAGUUGCAGGGGUUAAUGGUGGAAAGUGGACUGAUCAAGAGACCCUCCUGCUCCUUGAAGCAUUAGAACUAUAUAAAGAAAAUUGGAAUGAAAUUGCAGAACAUGUUGGAACAAAAUCAAAAACUCAGUGCAUAUUGCACUUUGUUCAAAUGCCAAUUGAGGAUGCCUUUGUUGACUGUGAUGAUAAUGUUGAUGCUGAUUGCAAAGAAACUGCAGAUCCAGCUUCAGCAAACAAUAACUCAUCUAUGGACAAAGAUGCUACAGAAAUUGUUGAGAAUGACUCUAGUGAUGGCAUUAAAGGCCAUGAUGAAACUUCCAAGGCUGAAGAUGUUAAAGCCAAUGUUAAUCAUGAGGAGAUUCCAAAGUUACAUGGUGGUGAUGAGAAAACUAGUGAGGGAACUACUAAAUCAGAAGAUGCUGUUAUAGUAAAGUCUGAUCAGGAAGCAGGCAAUGACUGUGCUCUAAAUGCUCUUAAGGAAGCAUUCACAGCUGUUGGUUAUUCUCCUGAAGGCCCUUCUUCAUUUGCUGAAGUGGGUAAUCCUGUCAUGGCACUGGCAGCAUUCCUUGCACACUUGGUGGGUUCUGAUGUGGCUGUUGCUUCAGCUCAUAGCUCCAUAAAAUCCAUGUCAGGAAAUUCUUCUGGCACCGAGCUUGCUGCAAGGUAUUGCUUUCUUUUAGAAGAUCCACCUGAUAAUAAGAAGGAAUCAACUAGUUCUGAGAGGGAUUCUAAAAGUGAGGGAGAUCAGGAUGAAGUAAAUGUAAAACAGGAUAAACCAGUGUUGGAUGAUAAAGAUUUACCAAAUGAUCAUGAUAACAUGAAAAUUGAGAGUAAUGCUUUAGAAGACAAGGGACAGCUGGCUUCUACAGAUGAUGGAGCCUCAGGAAAGCCAAUUUCUUCAAAGGAGCAAGCAAUGAUUAAUCAUGAAUCUGGGCUUGAUAAUUGUAAUGAUCCCAACAGUGCAAAGCUACCCAAUGAUCAAGCACCAGGCACUCUGCAUAGUUCAGGUGGUUCAACAUCCAAGGCUGAAAUUCCACCUAGUUCUGACGAGGUUCAGGAGGGAACUUUAAUUGAAGAACCUAGCCGUUCUGUUGAGGAACUAAAGGAUAGAUGUGUGUCUGAUCCUCUUCUAUCAGAGAAGAAAGAACUUCAUCAGUCAAUUAAAUCUAACAUACCAGGAGAGCAUCCAAAGCCAGUGGAGACCCCGAAAAGUGCUGCGAUGGUUUCUGAUUCGAUUCCCUCAGCUAAAAACAAGCCGCAAAAUUUGCAAUCUAUAAAUCCAGUCGGUGGGUCUCUGGAAUCAACAGACUCAGUUAUGGAUGUUGAUGGAGUUACGAAUUCCUUGCAAUCUGAAAAGAUUGACUCUCAGCCACUAAUUACACCAAAAGGAUCCCAAUGUAAUGGGACUGAAAAGGAUGUAGACAUGGUGUCACCUCCUGUUAGAUCAAGUUAUGGUCCUGAAAAUGGUGCAAACACAGGGGCAGGUGGAGAUCAUGCAGAGAAUGGCACAAAAGUGAAAGAUGAUGGUACAAAGACUAAACAGGAUAGCAAUUUUGAGAAAGUGAAACGUGCUGCUGUUUCUACCCUCGCUGCUGCAGCGGUUAAAGCAAAACUUCUAGCAAGUCAGGAAGAAGACCAAAUCCGACAGCUUACUUCUUUAUUGAUAGAAAAGCAGUUGCAUAAGUUGGAAACAAAGCUGGCUUUUUUCAAUGAUGCGGAGAAUGUGGUGAUGAGGGCAAGGGAGCAUGUGGAGCGGUCACGACAUAAGCUUUAUCAUGAGCGUGCUCUGAUUAUUGCAUCCCGGCUUGGUUUACCAGCUUCCUCAUCUAGAGGUGCACCAUCUGUACCAACCAACAGAAUUCCCAUGAAUGUUGCAAACUCACUCCCAAGACCACAAAUCAUGAUGAAUCCGCAAAGGCCACUGAUUUCUAGACCUGUAGGCACUGUAGCUAAUACUCUUCAAAACCCAUUAGCAUCUGCAACUGCAGCAGGAAAUUCAGUUAGGCCAUCCAGCCAGGAAAAUCUUUCUUCUGUUGGGACAAAAUAGAUAUCAAGUUCAUAUGGAAAAAGUUCAUGUCUUCGUACUUACUGAUCACUCGCCAUCAUUUUGACAAUUCAAUUCUUUCAAAGGUCAAGUGCUGGUUAGGACUAACUCCAAAUUGACAACUAUUGGGAAUUCAGUGACCAGAAUAGUGCAUUGGAAGCUCAUCUUUUCCCGAUAUAAGGAGCAGCAGGAGAUGAGAGGACGGAAGUUUUUACCGAUAUAUUUGAGGUUGUAGAGCAAUUUUAUUUAUAUAUAUAUAUAUAUUUUUGACGUGUUUAACUUAAAACAAGUGGAUAGUUGUGCAAAAUGUGCGCGUUCAAUCCUCUAAUUUCAAUGCUAUUCACCACAUUCUUGGAUAAGAGCAUAUUGAAAUUUGGAUGACUACAUAAAGAAUAUAUAGCUGUCUGGCAAUGCUCACAGUAUGAAUUGGCUAGGGUAUGCCUGCUUUUAUUC